CCUACGGGGGGCUGCAGUGGGGAAUAUUGGACAAUGGGGGCAACCCUGAUCCAGCCAUGCCGCGUGUGUGAAGAAGGCCCUCGGGUUGUAAAGCACUUUCAGUGAGGAAGAACGCCUGGUGGUUAAUACCCAUCAGGAAAGACAUCACUCACAGAAGAAGCACCGGCUAACUCCGUGCCAGCAGCCGCGGUAAUACGGAGGGUGCGAGCGUUAAUCGGAAUUACUGGGCGUAAAGCGCGCGUAGGUGGCUUGAUAAGCCGGUUGUGAAAGCCCCGGGCUCAACCUGGGAACGGCAUCCGGAACUGUCAAGCUAGAGUGCAGUAGAGGAAGGUAGAAUUCCCGGUGUAGCGGUGAAAUGCGUAGAGAUCGGGAGGAAUACCAGUGGCGAAGGCGGCCUUCUGGACUGACACUGACACUGAGGUGCGAAAGCGUGGGUAGCAAACAGGAUUAGAUACCCUAGUAGUC
rnacentral:rRNA from 1 species